rnacentral:rRNA from 1 species
ACCGGCAGCUCAAGUGGUGGCCAUUAUUAUUGGCCUAAAGCGGUCGGAGGCGGUUUUAUAAAUCUCUGGUGAAAUCCCGCAACUUAACUUGGGGACUUGCCGGAGAUACUAUUAGACUUGAGGUCGGGAGAGGUUAGGGGUACUCCCAGGGUAGGGGUGAAAUCCUAUAAUCCUGGGAGGACCACCUGUGGCGAAGGCGCCUAACUGGAACGAACCUGACGGUGAGUAACGAAAGCCAGGGGCGCGAACCG